AGACCAUUCUCAAAUUGUUUACACUUGAUUAUAAUGAGUAAGCAUCAGCCCCCAUCUUAUCUCAAGCUACAAAAACGUGGAGGAACCACAAGAAUGCAGCAAAUACAAGCCUUCCAAUCACCACCCUCCAUUUGGCCUUGUUGGGAAUGGGUAGAUAAGUGAAGACUUUGUGUUUUGGUCUUCAUUUUCACUUGUCUUCUUCCAAAAACGACCAGACCUAUUUCCUUAAUCUUGUAUUCAUAUUUCUUCACUUCCAUACUCACAUAAGAGAAUAUCAAACCCUAAGAACUCAUAGAAGUAUAGCUAGAACAAGUUCUUCACCUUUUCUAGCUGAAAAUCCUAGGUUUUGAAGUUUGAAUCCAUCUAUAAUCAAGGACUCUAGCACAGCCUAUAUGAGACUGAUCUUUUCACUUCAUAGACCAUAUUGGACUUGAGGUAAGUUGAAGCUUUCAUUUGUUCAUCGUAAGAACCUAAUUAUGUGUGCUUUAAUGUGACUUUUGCUACGUGUUCUCCAUGAUGUUUGAAUGAUUGAUGGGUCAUAGUGAUAUGAAAGAAUAUGUUUUGAAAAUGGGAGUAUGGUACUUGAUUGAUGGUCGAGUAGGCAAGGGACGCGGGAGGAACCGGCGGACCCAACACAUGGUGGCAAAUACCUGAGGUCGAAAGACCAGUAUGGAAAACCCACAAUUAAUGAAAUGAAAUACGGCUAAUACCUGAGGUCGAAAGGCCGGUAUGGAAACCCCCGUAUAAUCUAUUGGCCAAAUAUGAUGAACAGGUUCCGAAAACGAAAGCCUAUUGCUAUCAGUCAAGUACCACACUUCAAGGGUACCCGAUAAAGAGAAGGAUUUCAAAGAAAAGGAUCACGAAUGAAGUUAUAUGUGAUAUUGUACUUAUUGAAUGAAUAACGUGUUAUGUGAUAUAGCGCUAUUACAUCAGUUUCAACUUGCUGAGCCAUUAGCUCAUUAGGUUCUUAUGAUGCAGGUAAUGAUGUACAUAUUUAGAAGUUGACCUAGCCAAGAGCGGCCAGACAGAGUUUUGUUCAUAUGCCAUGCUUCGCGCCAUUUUUGUAGCCGAGCUAGAAACUCUGAUUUCAUUUUGUUAGCCGCUCUAUUAUGGUUUUUGUACAAAGUAAUUUUGUAAACAAUAUAUAUCUGUAUCUAUAUAUGUACAGAUUUUGAGAAAGUACAGAGCUUGAUUUCUUUUCAAAGCAUAUUAUGUAUUUUUGUAUUAAAACCAUAAUGUUUAAGUGUAUUUAAAAAGGGUAGCAUCCCUAACUUAAUGGUGGUAAUCCGAUUGGAUUCUGCUGUUAGGUUGUGGGGCGUUACAUUUGUGCACCUUUUUUGAUGCGCAUUCGUGUCCUCGUACUGUAGCACGUAC
rnacentral:lncRNA from 1 species